GCUCCCGAGAACGGCAGCCGCUCCAGUGACGGUCACAGGGGACACUGUGGUCUUUGCAUCAGCAGCUCACGCUGCCGAGGACAGCGACUGUGGGCCACAGCUCAACAGAGAGACAGAGACCUCGCGUGCUCACCACUUCUCCCAGAGGUUGCAGCUGAAGAUCUUGGGAAAAGACAGGUCUCCAGGUUCCGGGUCCAGUAGGAGCAUCUUUGGAGCAUGUGGAGAAAAGGCAGCUUCUACCCACAGGCUACGUGACCGAGUAUGUUGCAUGAAGUCACUGACUUUAUCUGCCUGCAGUAAAGCAAAGCUGGAAACUGGGCGGAAAAAAUCUGACGUUAGUGAGACAUACACCCGUGUCAUGCAGUGAAGGUUCAUGACUGCUAGAGGGUGUGGAUCGUGGUCACAAGCGUGAACUGUCUUCACGGAGGGAACCUGGGAGCACCAGGCCUCCUGGGUGGUGUGAGCUCUGAGCCUCCUUGGGGGACCUCUGUGCAAGGAGGACGGUAAGGUGUUUGCAUGAGUGGCAGGUUCACUCCAGGCUCUGUGACAAUCCAGGCAACGGUGGGGACAUCUGCAUGUUUUCUUCACUGAGAACGGACAUACGUGCAUUUAUUCGUGUAUUUUCUUGCUCUGCUGUCCAGGUCAAGAUCUCUGACGUGUAAAAGCCCCACUUGGUUCUGAGAAAGGCCAAGCAAUGACCCGGACGCAGUUAAAACUCAUCACACAGGGUCAUUACAUGGGAUCCAGGAAGGAGACCUUGAGGCCCAGCUCCUGUGUGGUCUUCAGUUUUACUGGUGAUAAACUCUCGACCAACAGAGAUGUUUCAGCCUUGCGUUCAGCAAAUAUCCCAGUCUUAUGACUGAGUCCAGUGGCCAAUCUGUCUUUGCUAUAAAAGGCUAUUUCAUCGUGGAAAGAAAAAAAAAAUGAGGUGCCAAGGUUUUAUUUGAGGAACUCUGGCACCACCAAGUGGCUAACCCAAUGACCCCUCAAAUUGUCCUGCAAAUUCUCAGCAGACUCUUCCCCAAAUCUCCUUUAAUCUGGAUCCAAAUUUGUGAGAUGUGUUGCCAUGUGGGAUACAGUCAGAUCCAUCUGUCAUGGUCUGCAUUCUGUCUUGAGAUCCUUUUACAUCCUGGUUGGUUGUUUUUUCUGUGUUGCAUGCAGUACAUUUUAUUUUGGCUUUUCUAUGCCUUUUGACAUUUCUCUGGAAUCUGACAAAUGCAGCUAGAAUUCCGUCUGGUGCCAUACAGAAUUCCAUCGCUCUGAUGGUUGACUGUGGUCUGUUUGUACCAAACCCCUUCCCAAACCCCGAGAAGCCACCACUCUCCCUUCCAACCCUGUAUUUUCACCUUUUCCGGGAUGUCAUGUAGAUGGAAAAUCACAGCACAGAGCUCUGGGGCUUUGGUGUCUUCGCCUCCGGGAUGGAGGUGGGGUGCAUCCGUGACCUUCGGGAGUCACAAGCGCGGCCCCCACUGCUGAGUCGCGUCCACGGUGAGAACAGACCACGGAGCUUUCAUCUGCUCUCCUUCAAAGGGCAGCUCGGCUGUCUCCAGUCUGAGGUGUUAUGAAGUUGAUAUGAACUUUCGCAAACAGAUUUUUGUGGAAACAUGAAUUUUACAUUCACUUGGGUACAGUUCGAGAGAUGGAUUUCUGCCGCUCAAGGUAAAUGCGCGUUUCUCACCUGAGCAAGCAGCCAACUGUCCCCCAAAGUGGCUCUCUGUCCUUGCAGGGCUGCCCGCUGGGAAGAAGCAUUCUCGGGGCUCCACACCCGUGUGGUGCUGCCACGUUAAGGAAGUGACUUUAGCGACACACUGCUGGGUGGGAGGAACGUUCUGGAAUGCUAGUCCUUUAUUAGAUCUGUAAUUUGUAAAUAGUUUCUCCAAGUCUGUGGCUUGUCUUUUUUUAUUAUACUUACAGUGCGUUUUGCAAAGCAAAAGUUUUUAAUUUUGAUUGAGUCAAAUUUAGCAAAUGUUUCUUUUAUGAGUCAAGCUUUUGGUACUGUAUCUAUAAACUCACCACCAAAACCAAAGUCAUGCAGAUUUUCUUUGGUAUUUCUCUCUAGAAGUUUACUCAUUGCAAAUGGCUCUUUGUAUAUGGGGCGUGGUAUGGAUCAAUGUUCUUUUUUGCGUGUGAACAUUCAAGUGUUCCCACACCACUUAUUGAAAAGGCUGUCUAUCUCAGCUGAAAUGACAAAAGUCAUGCACCGAUAUUCUGGACUCUCCAGCUCCACAGGGUUAUUGUCCAUCUCAAUACCUACACUACACUGUAUUGAUUAUGAUAGCUAAAGAGUGAGUCUUGAAAUUGGGUCAUGAGAGUUUACAAAAUUCCAUACUUUACGUGUUUGCUUUUUCCCCCAUAAUUACUGUCGUUAUUUGUAGUUCCUUUGCUUUCUGUGUGAGUGUUAGAUUCAGUUUGUUAUCUAUAAAACAGACUUCCUGGAAUUUGACAGAUUGCAUUGAUCAAAUUGGGGAGAAUUGGAAGAAUCAACAAUUUUAAAAUACAGAAUUUUCCUACCCACAAACCAUAUAUUUUUGUAUUUAUUGA